UACGUAGGGGGCAAGCGUUGUCCGGAAUCAUUGGGCGUAAAGCGCGUGUAGGCGGCCCGGUAAGUCCGCUGUGAAAGUCGGGGGCUCAACCCUCGAAUGCCGGUGGAUACUGUCGGGCUAGAGUACGGAAGAGGCGAGUGGAAUUCCUGGUGUAGCGGUGAAAUGCGCAGAUAUCAGGAGGAACACCAGUUGCGAAGGCAGCUCGCUGGGACGUUACUGACGCUGAGACGCGAAAGCGUGGGGAGCAAACAGG
rnacentral:rRNA from 1 species